GCUUAAUUUUACUUUUUUAAUCACAUAUAUCUAAUUAGGAAUUUAUUAACUAAGGGCACGUACUCAUGUUAGGUAGUUAAAAUUUGUAUAUUAUACACCUAUUUUAGAAAUAUACUUACAAAUAUAUAUCAUCUAACUUUUUUUUGUAAACCAAAGUAUACAAUAAGAAAAAAUUUUAAACUGUUGUAUAACUCAUACUUUGUGUUAUAUUUGGCAUCUGAUCUGCACUAAUAAGUCUGAAGUUUGUCAUACAUGCAGUAAUACAUGGUAAUAGGUUUAAAAUUGAUUUUAAAUGAAAGCAGCGAUAGUUAUUAAACUAGAUUAAUACUAAAAUUAC